rnacentral:tRNA from 2 species
GCCGCCGUAGACCAACGGCAGAGUCAGCGUUUUGAGAGAGCGCGUAGUGGAGGUUCGAAUCCUCUCGGCGGCA